GGAGAGGACACAGCUGCAGAAGAAGCUUAUGUUACAGAUAUGGACAUUGAGUCUGGGAAAGCUCUCCUUCAAGGACACUCAUCAGAUAACUUGGAGAUUAUGACUCAGAGAUUAUGACGGAUGAUCUUGAGGAGUCGUGUCCAGCCUGGCCUCCCAGAUUUGAGCAAUCUUUCACUGUCAAGAGAGGCUGGGAGAUUGAUUCAAUUAAGAUUAGCAGAGUCGGAAAAAUGGCAUCUGGGUUAGUUUUGGUCCUAAAAAAAAAAAAAAAAGGUCCUGCUCCUGGUGACUUGGCACAACUUGUCACACACUGUUCCACCCUGUUCCGCACAGCCACGCAGGGCUGGCAUCCUCGUGGGCUGUGCAGGAGUGGCCUCACCCAUCCUUAGAGAUGAAAAUGCUUAUGCCUGCACGCAGGUAAAUGGGUCCGUUCCUGAGUGCCUAAGCCCUGAAUACCCCAACCCUUCCCUCAGGACCCCAGAUGUCCUCAGGAGCCAGCAACUAAAGGGUUGAUAUCUGUCACUCCAGGGGACAUGUAGGCUGAAAUGGAUUAAUUUAUGCCCCUCCCCAAACUCUUAUAUUAAUGUCCUAAUUUCUAAUGUG
rnacentral:lncRNA from 12 species